GACGAACGCUGGCGGCGUGCCUAAUACAUGCAAGUAGAACGCUGAAGGAGGAGCUUGCUUCUCUGGAUGAGUUGCGAACGGGUGAGUAACGCGUAGGUAACCUGCCUGGUAGCGGGGGAUAACUAUUGGAAACGAUAGCUAAUACCGCAUAAUAGUAGAUGUUGCAUGACAUUUGCUUAAAAGGUGCAAUUGCAUCACUACCAGAUGGACCUGCGUUGUAUUAGCUAGUUGGUGGGGUAACGGCUCACCAAGGCGACGAUACAUAGCCGACCUGAGAGGGUGAUCGGCCACACUGGGACUGAGACACGGCCCAGACUCCUACGGGAGGCAGCAGUAGGGAAUCUUCGGCAAUGGACGGAAGUCUGACCGAGCAACGCCGCGUGAGUGAAGAAGGUUUUCGGAUCGUAAAGCUCUGUUGUAAGAGAAGAACGAGUGUGAGAGUGGAAAGUUCACACUGUGACGGUAUCUUACCAGAAAGGGACGGCUAACUACG
rnacentral:rRNA from 1 species